rnacentral:lncRNA from 1 species
UUAGUUCGGCAGUUAAUAUCCACCACUGCGCUAUUCAAGUGUAUUUGCCUAACUCAACACUCGUACUAUUUUUGAGCAAAUAACUGCAAUCCCUUCCCGCGUGAUGGUUCCUGUUCCCACGCACCUUCCCGAGAUGGUUGCUAUCCCCCCGAGACUCGGCGCUGCCUGAACUUCCUAGUGACGACAUGAUCGGUGGCUAUUCCCAAGAGGGGUCUUCAAGAACUCUUCGUCGAUGUCAUCGCCAGUUCCCACACCAGUUCGGAGAGGGGAUUUCAAGAGUUCCUGCUCUCAUCGUCCUCACCAUUUCCGAAAAGAGAGGUUUUUUUUUCAAGAACUCCAACUGUAGCCCCGCUCGCCCCCCUCCUCUUCGAUCACCGCAUGUCGCACUGCUACGCCUUUCCAGCGCUCCGGCUCAUCGCCGUCCAUGCGUCGUAGCUCCAUGCACGCUAGUGCGUGAGCCCUCGGGUGGCCUCGCCGCGCUUCGUGUUGCGUGAUGUCAUCUUCCGUGGUCUUGUGAUCAGACCCCUACCAGUCCUCGACGAUAAUCUCACCUACGCUGCCACGGGCGGGCACAAUGUGGCAACCUAUGUGGCCGUCAUCCUCCUCUACUUGGCCAAUGGCAGCGCCGGCGUCGACAACGCUGCUAGGUAGUACAUGAGAUAGGCCAUGGGCCUGAAAGAAUCGGGGCAAAGUUGGGCAGCAACGGCACAACGCUGAGCAACAAGGGGUGUUUGUUGUGUCGUAGAGGAUCGCGGAUAUGAUCUGGACUGUGUGGUGGCGCUGGCCCUGGAAGCAGGUGGUGCUGACACCGGUGCGCGGCGAUCAUCCCUGCGUAGGUGGGAAUUGUGGCGUUCAUCUACAAUGUGGAAACAUUGAUGCAGAGUGUUUUGCGGCGAGGACUGCCAGAUUCACAGUAAAAUCGAGCUGUUCUUAAAGAGAAUUAAUGGAGAGUGAAUUAUUAGUGUAACUUUUGCUUUUUUGUUGCUUUUACUUGAUGAGCUCUAGGACUGGUUGGCGGACCUUGUAGCCAAUAUUGCCAAUGUAAAUAUAUAUUUGAUUAAUGAAGAUCUUAUGUUACCCCUAAAUAAACAACAUGUCUACAUGGCAGCCAGUGUGCUGACUGGGACCCGAAGAUCCACGUGUCAGGGUUGUGGGUCAAAUAUGUUAAUAUGGGGCCCACUAGAGAAGUGGGACCCUGCUAUCCACGUGUACGAGUGCGGGCUAGCAGGCCUUCAUGGCUAACACAUGUUAAUGCGGGUCCCACUGGGUGGGUCCUGAUAGUCCACGUGUAUGUGCAGUGGGUACGAUAGGUAGUCGUACAACCAUGUGUUGCUUGCGCGGUCCAGCGUGUCCACAUCGUGGCCACGUGUCAUGGUGGAGCCCACAGAUAAUAAGGCCUCGGCCUGUUUCAAAUGCAGGCCUAAAAUGAAAUUGCUGUGGAGCCAGCCCAUUUUGAGUGAGCCACCAGGAUCCACUCGAUCUGACCCACGAAGAGAAAAAGACCCGCUGUGAAAACAAGAGUGCCGAACGAGCCCAACAAAGGGAGGAAAUUUUUUGAUGCCGCAUGGCUUCGAACACAGGCAAGGUCAGUUUGGCAGUUGCUAUCCACCACUGCGCUAUUCAAGUGUAUUUUCCUAACUCAACACUCAUACUAUUUUUGAGCAAAUAACUGCAGCCCCUUCCUGUGUGAUGGUUCCUGUUCCCGCGCACCUUCCCGAGAUGGUUGCUAUCCCCCCGAGACUCGGCGCUGCCUGAACUUCCUGGCGAUGACGCGAUCGGCGGCAGUUCCCAAGAGGGAUCUUC